GUCGCAUCACGUUGAAACCCCAGUUCCCUUACGGUCACCAAAGUUAAGCAACGUGGAUCCUGCUUAAUACCUAGAUGGUUGACCGUUUGGGAAUACCAUGUGCUGUAAG